rnacentral:rRNA from 1 species
UACGAGAGGCCCAAACGUUAUUCGGAUUUACUGGGCUUAAAGAGUUCGUAGGCGGUCCGUCAAGUGAGGUGUGAAAGCCCUCGGCUCAACCGAGGAAUUGCGCUUCAAACUGUCGGGCUCGAGGGAGAUAGAGGUGAGCGGAACUGAUGGUGGAGCGGUGAAAUGCGUUGAUAUCAUCAGGAACACCAGAGGCGAAGGCGGCUCACUGGGUCUCUUCUGACGCUGAGGAACGAAAGCUAGGGUAGCAAACGGG